rnacentral:rRNA from 1 species
GACGAACGCUGGCGGCGUGCCUAACACAUGCAAGUCGAACGGACCUUGCGAGCGGAACCCUUCGGGGGGAAGCUUGCACAGGUUAGUGGCGGACGGGUGAGUAACACGUGAGCAACCUGCCUUUCAGAGGGGGAUAACAUUCCGAAAGGGAUGCUAAUACCGCAUAAUGUUGUGGAGUCGCAUGGCUCUAUGACCAAAGAUUUAUCGCUGAGAGAUGGGCUCGCGGCCGAUUAGGUAGUUGGAGAGGUAACGGCUCCCCAAGCCGACGAUCGGUAGCCGGACUGAGAGGUUGAACGGCCACAUUGGGACUGAGACAC